GAAUUCUGCAAACUAGCAAGAUAAAAGUAUUUAAAGACUCCUUUCAGCAUCAGCAGUUAAAUAUAAUAAAGUCGUAAUGCUAAAGAAAGAUUCUUGCUUAUUAAAGGCAAAUCUUAAAAUUUUAUGGACUUACCUAAAGCAAAACACAUUUACUGUUAAGGAAGAAGGUUGCAGAAGUCACAAUUUCACAAAUUUGAUCCGUAAAAGUGUGUUAUGACACAUAAAACCGGGGCAGACAUUGGCGGCGACUAUACGAUAUCAUCGUUCAAGAGGUAAUUUAAAGCGAAUCCUUCUGCCACUUCUCUUACCACCAGUACCGUGAAAUUCCACCUUCUAGAAAAACAAGCUGUCCUGUUAUUUUAAUCUGAGAUUCUCCCACGCUUUAGUUUUAUAUAUAUAUAUAUACACCGAUAAUUUCGCUACACGUCAACGAGAUGGAAACACAAAUACUUUUUUUUUAUAUCCUGUCUACUCUUUUCCACCUGACUCUAUAAAACAUUCAAGCGAUUCGUUCUUUCACCAGUCCGUUAAAGUCUUAAGAAAACAACAUGUCUUGCUUACAUUGAAAAUACUUUUUGCUUCACUGAUGCAAUGACUAUAAAAAUGACAGGUCAUUCCAAGAUCAAGCUUCUCUCCACAGCUACAGGAUGGCUGUAUUAUUAUGUACACAACACUGCCGAGAUAUCUGUUGGCGGAUAUUGCGUACAGUUGCUUACGGUUGAUAUGAGGUUUCUCCUGUUAAUCAUUUCGGUUUGGUCUGGAUUGAUGGAUAAAAAUUUUUUUUGGUUGUUACAUAAAUACUUUCAGAAAUCCUAACAGAUAGAUUAAGAAAAUUUUUUAACGGGUUAUCUAUUUUUAUGCCGAAAGAUUUCAAACGCAUCUAGAUUUAUUAAACUCGAUUUUCAUACUAAAAAAAAUAUUUUUUUUUCUUUCCUCU
rnacentral:lncRNA from 1 species